rnacentral:tRNA from 1 species
GGGGUUGUGGCUCAGUGGUAGAGCACUUUCCUAGCAUGUGUGAGGCACUGGGUUCAAUUCUCAGCACCUCA